rnacentral:rRNA from 1 species
GAGUUUGAUCCUGGCUCAGAACGAACGCUGGCGGCGUGGAUAAGACAUGCAAGUCGAGCGCUAAUUUGAAGGUAGCAAUAUUUUCAAGUUGGAGCGGCGCAAGGGUGCGUAACACGUGGGUAAUUUGCCAUGAAGUCUGGAAUAACUUGCUGAAAGGCGAGCUAAUGCCGGAUGUGAUUUUCGGGGAGCAUUUCCUGAAACUCAAAGUUGGGGACCGUAAGGCCUGACGCUUCUUGAUAAGCCCGCGGCCUAUCAGCUAGUUGGUGAGGUAAUGGCUCACCAAGGCUAAGACGGGUAGCUGGUCUGAGAGGACGACCAGCCACACUGGAACUGAGACACGGUCCAGACACCUACGGGUGGCAGCAGUCGAGAAUUUUUCACAAUGGGCGAAAGCCUGAUGGAGCGACGCCGCGUGGGGGAUGAAUGGCUUCGGCCCGUAAACCCCUGUCAUUUGCGAACAAACCUUUUCAUUUAACACCUGAAAAGCUGAUUGUAGCGGAAGAGGAAGGGACGGCUAACUCUGUGCCAGCAGCCGCGGUAAUACAGAGGUCCCAAGCGUUGUUCGGAUUCACUGGGGCGUAAAGGGUGCGUAGGUGGUGAGGUAAGUCGGAUGUGAAAUCUCCGGGCUUAACCCGGAAAUGGCA